UGAGAUGUUCUCCAAGCCUUAGGCAUUAUCCACUGGGGCUGGGUACCCCACAGAGUGAAAAAUAAAAGCAAGAAACAAUCCUGGAGGAAGACAAGCUGUGCUCCGUAUCUAAAAAGAACUGUGGAUAACAGCCCAAGAUGGUAUUUUGAAGUGAGUAGACACCUGGAGAAUACAGUCUUCCUGCUACCGGGGUGAUGGAUAAACAUCUUCAAUCAAGACAUCCUGAGGAUCCUAUGGGUUUAGAUGAAGCUGGCAUCUAUGUUCUUCUCUAGGAGACUCUCUGGUUGUGUUUGUUUGGAAGGCGACCUCGGUAAGCAUGGAGCUAGAUGUCAACUGACGAGACGCUUCUGAGAGGGACUCAAAACUGCCGACCUUGGGAAUUUGCUUGAGAGGAGAGAAAUUCUUGGCCACAGAGAGAGUGCUGAGAAGACAGGGGAGUGAAAAGAAUGUGUCAACAGAGUGAGCCAAGCCUGGGGGACAUGGCAGAGCACCACAAGAAACCAUUGCUCGGCAAAGGACUCCUCAGAUGAGAGCGUACAAAAUAUGAUCAUCCCUCAUCACCAGGGGUAGCCCUAGGAUCCUUGCCCAGGGUACCACAAUCUUAGAGUGCUCAAGUCCCUUAUAUAAACAGCAAAAUGAAUUAGG
ensembl:lincRNA 1700025M24Rik RIKEN cDNA 1700025M24 gene